CAGUCGCCGCGGUAAUACGUAGGUGGCAAGCGUUGUCCGGAAUUAUCGGGCGUAAAGGGCUCGCAGGCGGUUUCUUAAGUCUGAUGUGAAAGCCCCCGGCUCAACCGGGGAGGGUCAUUGGAAACUGGGAAACUUGAGUGCAGAAGAGGAGAGUGGAAUUCCACGUGUAGCGGUGAAAUGCGUAGAGAUGUGGAGGAACACCAGUGGCGAAGGCGACUCUCUGGUCUGUAACUGACGCUGAGGAGCGAAAGCGUGGGGAGCGAACAGGAUUAGAUACCCCCGUAGUCCCUGUCUCUUAUAC
rnacentral:rRNA from 1 species